AUUGAACGCUGGCGGCAUGCCUUACACAUGCAAGUCGAACGGUAACAGGUCUUCGGAUGCUGACGAGUGGCGAACGGGUGAGUAAUACAUCGGAACGUGCCCGAUCGUGGGGGAUAACGAGGCGAAAGCUUUGCUAAUACCGCAUACGAUCUACGGAUGAAAGCGGGGGAUCUUCGGACCUCGCGCGGACGGAGCGGCCGAUGGCAGAUUAGGUAGUUGGUGGGAUAAAAGCUUACCAAGCCGACGAUCUGUAGCUGGUCUGAGAGGAUGAUCAGCCACACUGGGACUGAGACACGGCCCAGACUCCUACGGGAGGCAGCAGUGGGGAAUUUUGGACAAUGGGCGAAAGCCUGAUCCAGCAAUGCCGCGUGCAGGAUGAAGGCCUUCGGGUUGUAAACUGCUUUUGUACGGAACGAAAAGCCUCUUUCUAAUAAAGAGGGGUCAUGACGGUACCGUAAGAAUAAGCACCGGCUAACUACGUG
rnacentral:rRNA from 1 species